rnacentral:rRNA from 1 species
CACGUAGGGUGCGAGCGUUGUCCGGAAUUAUUGGGCGUAAAGAGCUCGUAGGCGGUGUGUCGCGUCGGCCGUGAAAACCUGCAGCUUAACUGUGGGCUUGCGGUCGAUACGGGCAUCACUGGAGUUCGGCAGGGGAGACUGGAAUUCCUGGUGUAGCGGUGAAAUGCGCAGAUAUCAGGAGGAACACCGGUGGCGAAGGCGGUUCUCUGGGCCUUACCUGACACUGAGGAGCGAAAGCGUGGGGAGCGAACAGGA